AACGAACGCUGGCGGCGUGGAUAAGACAUGCAAGUCGAACGGGAUUCCUUUCGGUAGCAAUACUGAGAGGGAUUUAGUGGCGAACGGGUGCGUAACACGUGGGGAAUCUGCCGAGAAGUGGGGGAUAGCUCGUCGAAAGGCGAAUUAAUACCGCAUAUGAUCAGGGAAGGACAUCUUUCCAACAUCAAAGACCGGGGCGAACCUGGCGGCUUCUUGAUGACCCCG
rnacentral:rRNA from 1 species